rnacentral:rRNA from 1 species
UAACCUGCCUUACACAAGGGGAUAGCCUCUGGAAGCGGAGAAUAAUACCCUAUGAAACUAUCAGAGCGCAUGCAUUGGUAGUCAAAGUGCUUAGCGGUGUAAGAUGGACUUGCGUCUGAUUAGCUAGUUGGUGAAUUAACAGCCCACCAAGGCAACGAUCAGUAGCCGGCUUGAGAGAGUGUAUGGCCACAUUGGGACUGAGACACGGCCCAG